GACGAACGCUGGCGGCGUGCCUAAUACAUGCAAGUAGAACGCUGAAGGAGGAGCUUGCUCUUCUGGAUGAGUUGCGAACGGGUGAGUAACGCGUAGGUAACCUGCCUGGUAGCGGGGGAUAACUAUUGGAAACGAUAGCUAAUACCGCAUAACAGUAGAUGUUGCAUGACAUUUGCUUAAAAGGUACAAUUGCACCACUACCAGAUGGACCUGCGUUGUAUUAGCUAGUUGGUGGGGUAACGGCUCACCAAGGCGAUGAUACAUAGCCGACCUGAGAGGGUGAUCGGCCACACUGGGACUGAGACACGGCCCAGACUCCUACGGGAGGCAGCAGUAGGGAAUCUUCGGCAAUAGACGGAAGUCUGACCGAGCAACGCCGCGUGAGUGAAGAAGGUUUUCGGAUCGUAAAGCUCUGUUGUAAGAGAAGAACGAGUGUGAGAGUGGAAAGUUCACACUGUGACGGUAUCUUACCAGAAAGGGACGGCUAACUACGUG
rnacentral:rRNA from 1 species